UGACCCUGGGCACAUUGGCCCUUACAAUUUAAUCUGAACAAUGGAACCAGAGACAUCAGCACUGUCCAGGCUCUCUGAUGAUCUUCAUCCUUCGCCAGCAGCAAUUCAUGAAAUAAAUACAGAGUUUUCUGAGGAAAGUACAAUAUACUCAGACCUCAAAGUUCAUUGUUCUUCAAAUAUCCAGAACGGAAAAAUAACUAAAACUUCGAAAACAAAAGUGUCUCCGUGGUGCAUUGCUGCUGUGAUAUUUGCCUUCCUUUAUAUAAUCACUCUGGUAAUAGUUGCAGCUAUGGUAGCUAAGAUUCAUUGUCUUGAGGAGAUCCUGCACGAGGCAGCCAUUGAGACUGCACAUUGCAAUAUAAUAUCACAAAACAAAGGUAAUUGGUCUUCCUCCGAAGAAAACUGACAUUUUAUAUCUACUGAAAAUAAAAUCUUGGCAUCAAAGAAAUUUGUUCUGAAGCAUUGAGCUCCAGUCCCACCAAGGCAAAUAAUGAAGAAUUGGAAGUGUUUCGUGUGAUAUUCAUUCUUAUAUUUUCUUACACAUCAUAUAAUUAUAAAUAGAGAAUUUUUAACAUCUUGUGUUCAUUUAAGCAUGCUAAACUCAACAUUUUAUAAAUUGGAGACAUCUCAAUCAAACUCAAAAGAUCAAAAUAUGACCUUAAAAUGGUUUUAGAUUUUAAAUAUAUUUGCAUACAGAAGUAAAUGCAAAUAUAAGAAAUUUCAAAUGUUGGCUAAUAAUGGGGGAAGAAAUCACAUAGACAUAGAAACUAAAGGGAAUCUGGUCACAAGUGGCACCUAAAAAAGAGCUAAUACUUGUUGAUUGCUUCAAAUAUUCCUGGUACUACAUCAAUGAUUGUGGGCAUUAACUCAUGUAUUUUCCCAGUAAUCUUAUGAUACAAGUAUUAUCAUUGCCAUUGUUGUAUUAAUAAGAAAACCAAGACCCAGAGAGAAUGAUAGUUUUUUUCUGGGUAUCAGAAAUAGUAAGAAUUAGAUGCUUAAACUAUGAUUUAAGCUAAAAGAGUCUAACUCUAAAGAUCAGGAACAUAGCCAUUAUGCUAUGCUGACCCCAGAACAAAAAAUCUUAAUGAAUCAAAUUGUAAGAAUAUUGCUUCUUUGUAAAUAGUCAGAGCUGCUUAUACAAGCAGAUUUACAUUUUUCCACCCUGGAUAUAUCUUCUAAAGAGGAACAGUGAGAAAAAGAAUAGUAGCUCUUCAUAAGGACUAUUUUGAUACGAAUUGUUGUUUGGAAUGUGAAUAAAAGACAUUAACAGCAGUAAUGUUUCCCCCCAGUAGAUCCUAGCAAGCCAAAAGAAUAUAGAUGUCUUUUAUAUUUUUGUUCUCCUCUACUAUGUGACUAUUACCUCUAUAUUAUUUCUUCUUUUUCAUUGUAUUGAAGUUCUGUUAUUGCCUUUAAUGAAGACUUCAAUGCAGAUCAAUGACGAUAAAUUUAGGGCAUAUAUGCUGAAAAUUUCCAUACAGUAUUCUUAGAAGGCACUGUUCAUAGUAUGCUUCCCUAUGAUAUGCAAUAUCAUAAUUGCAACCCUUCAUAAUUGCAAAAAAAAGUGAGUGUAGACCUCACUUUGAAUAACUUUCAACAGAGCAUACCAGAAAGUCUCCUCCAAUUGAAUUACUCUCAUCUCAUCUACAUAUGGUGCUUCAAAGUGAACUUGUAUAUACACAUCAGCAAUGAGCUCUUUCAGCAAAAGCAAGCAAAAACGGCACACAAAGAGCAAUGAAUUUGCUAAGGCAAUCGCUCCUAUGGUCUAUUACCUCAAAAUUUGUUUUUUUGUUUUUGAUUCGUUGUUUUUUUUUUUUUUUUUUUGGAGACGGAGUCUUCGCUCAUGGUUGCCACCAGGGCUGGAGGCAC
ensembl:lincRNA